GCCCCCGUUGUCUAAUGGCUAUGACGUCAGACUUCUAAUCUGGAGGUUGCGGGUUCGAGUCCCGCCGGGGGUA
rfam:Postia placenta Mad-698-R POSPLscaffold_50_Cont2972, whole genome shotgun sequence.